rnacentral:rRNA from 1 species
GAUGAACGCUGGCGGCGUGCCUAAUACAUGCAAGUCGAGCGAACAGACGAGGAGCUUGCUCCUCUGACGUUAGCGGCGGACGGGUGAGUAACACGUGGAUAACCUACCUAUAAGACUGGGAUAACUUCGGGAAACCGGAGCUAAUACCGGAUAAUAUAUUGAACCGCAUGGUUCAAUAGUGAAAGACGGUUUUGCUGUCACUUAUAGAUGGAUCCGCGCCGCAUUAGCUAGUUGGUAAGGUAACGGCUUACCAAGGCAACGAUGCGUAGCCGACCUGAGAGGCUGAUCGGCCACACUGGAACUGAGACACGGUCCAGACUCCUACGGGAGGCAGCAGUCGGGAAUCUUCCGCAAUGGGCGAAAGCCUGACGGAGCAACGCCGCGUGAGUGAUGAAGGUCUUCGGAUCGUAAAACUCUGUUAUUAGGGAAGAACAACUGUGUAAGUAACUAUGCACGUCUUGACGGUACCUAAUCAGAAAGCCACGGCUAACUACGUG